CUACCCUUGACAUGCCAGGAAUCCUCCAGAGAUGGGGGAGUGCCCGAAAGGGAGCCUGGGCACAGGUGCUGCAUGGCUGUCGUCAGCUCGUGUCGUGAGAUGUUGGGUUAAGUCCCGCAACGAGCGCAACCCUUGUCAUUAGUUGCUACGAAAGGGCACUCUAAUGAGACUGCCGGUGACAAACCGGAGGAAGGUGGGGAUGACGUCAAGUCCUCAUGGCCCUUAUUGGUAGGGCUUCACACGUCAUACAAUGGUACAUACAGAGGGCCGCCAACCCGCGAGGGGGAGCUAAUCCCAGAAAGUGUAUCGUAGUCCGGAUUGCAGUCUGCAACUCGACUGCAUGAAGUUGGAAUCGCUAGUAAUCGCGGAUCAGCAUGCCGCGGUGAAUACGUUCCC
rnacentral:rRNA from 1 species